rnacentral:rRNA from 1 species
GAUGAACGCUGGCGGCGUGCCUAAUACAUGCAAGUCGAGCGAACGGACGAGAAGCUUGCUUCUCUGAUGUUAGCGGCGGACGGGUGAGUAACACGUGGAUAACCCACCUAUAAGACUGGGAUAACUUCGGGAAACCGGAUCUAAUACCGGAUAAUAUUUUGAACCGCAUGGUUCAAAAGUGAAAGACGGUCUUGCUGUCACUUAUAGAUGGAUCCGCGCUGCAUUAGCUGGUUGGUAAGGUAACGGCUUACCACGGCAACGAUGCAUAGCCGACCUGAGAGGGUGAUCGGCCACACUGGAGCUGAGACACGGUCCAGACUCCUACGGGAGGCAGCAGUAGGGAAUCUUCCGCAAUGGGCGGAAGCCUGACGGAGCAACGCCGCGUGAGUGAUGGAGGUCUUCGGAUCGUAAAACUCUGUUAUUAGGGAAGAACAUAUGUGUAAGUAACUGUGCACAUCUUGACGGUACCUAAUCAGAAAGCCACGGCUAACUACGUG